rnacentral:misc_RNA from 1 species
AUUACAGACGACUUCCCAUUUUUUCUGACUAAAAAUUCAGAAAUGUCUUGAUUUGUUAAAGAUAGCGAACUGAUCUGCAGCUGUAAUCCUAAAUGAUGUGCUAAUCUACCUACUCCGAAUAACCAUGUCAUUCGAAGAAUUAGAACAGGAACCAUUCAAUGCGCAUGAAUUUGUCGAAAGAUUGGCAUGGAAAGUCAUUGGAAAAAAAUCCAAAAAUAGCUAUGAAAAUUUUGACCCCUGGUCUUUGCAUUCAGCAUUUGAAGAUGUUAUAAAAAAUCUAGAGGAGAAAAAUAAGCAGAUAGAGAGGAAUAUUGAAAAGUUGGAGCAGUCUUGUAAAGAUGAAGAAAAGAAGCACUGGCAAAGAGUGGCUGACCUACAAAGGAAAAAUCAGUCAUCAUAUUCCCACUUUCAAUCUCUUGAUGAAAGAAUAAACUUAGUGGCAACCAAAGUUGUUCACUUAGGAGACCAACUUGAAGGAGUGAACACCCCGAGAGCUCGAGCUGUCGAGGCUCAAAGACUCAUGAACUACUUAGAUGAGUUCAUGUCAGAUGAACCUCCCAAGUCAGCUGUUUUUACUGAUCCUUUUCAGUUGCAACUGGCCGCUGAUAUCAUUCAGAAAUUAUACCAAAUUGCACUGGAACUACCUGCUAAUGAUAAAUUUGACAGAGCUCGUAAAAAGAUAUGGGACAAAUACAACUAUGUGGAGUCAGAACUGAUCACAGAAUUCAAAAAUGCCCAUUCUGAUGGAGAUAAAAGAAAAAUGAAAAAAGUAGCUGCUGUGCUAUCCAACUUCAAGGGUUAUGGACAGUGCAUAGAGACCUUCAUCACUGAGUCCCAGCUAGGGGCGUACCUGAGGCCGGACCCACACAGUGAUGGCCAAACUCGUACAGAACAUAUUCCAUGGCAAACUUCAGAGUCACAUUUCUUCCCGACUGGAUCAUUUAGAGGACCCAGAAGAAUAUCUUGUACAACUUUACAAGUUGUAUACCAGGACAGUGAAGUUGUCUGAAGAAUUGUCACAUUUCAAGAUGGGCAGUGACAGUCUAUUUCUCACCAAACUAACCAAGCAAAUCUUUGCAAAACAUCUGGAAGCUUAUAUUGGGUCUGAAACAAAAUAUCUGAAGGAGAGGUGUUCAGCUCAUUUACAGAGAUACUAUGAGGACAGUAAUCAUAUUAAAAAACAGAUUCAGUCUGGGGGCUUGGUGGAUUUUAAGAGAGACCUACAGGCAAAGAUUGGCACCCUUACAAAAGCUAAUGUAAACAUCGGUCCAGCGGUAGAGAACUACGGCGGAGAGACAUUUCUAUCCCAGGAAGUGACCAUAAGUCUUCUACAGGAGGCCAAGAAUGCAUUCAAGCGCUGCCAUGUGCUGUCCAGUAGUUCAGACAUGCCCAGCAAUGCGGUGCAGGUGUUGGACGUCUUGAUCCAGUAUUUGGUUGUUGAACACAUUGAUUAUGCAGUUGAAUUAGGAUUACAAGCCAUUCCUCUACCUGACCCAAGGACUCCCCCUCAGGUGUACUUCUUUGAUGUGGUCGGCCAGGCCAAUACCCUGUUUCACCUGUUUGAGAAACAGUUCAUGGACUCCCUGGUCCCUCUUGUCAUAUCCUCACCCAGACACAGUGAAUGCCUGCAAAAGAAGCGAGAUUUACGAGACCAGCUGGAGAGUAAGAUUGACAGUGGACUGGACCGGACUUUGACCGCCAUUACUGGCUAUGUAAAGUUCCUGUUAGCUGCUGAGCAGAAGAAAACAGACUUUAAACCAGAUGAUGAUAGUGCCAUGCUGGCUAUGGUGUCACCAGCUUGUUCAAAAGUGGUCAAGUUUAUCUAUGGAAUACACAAGAACAUCCGUGACAGCCUGGACGGGAAGAACAUAGAUGUUGUCCUGUCAGAGCUAGGGGUCAGGCUGCAUAGAGUGCUCUUUGAACAUCUACAGCAAUUUCAGUAUAAUUCAUUAGGUGCGAUGUUGGUGAUUUGCGAUGUCAAUGAAUACAGAAAGUGUAUGAAGGAAUUCAAGAUCCCAGUUGUGUCUGAUCUGUUUGAGAAACUCCACGCUCUGUGUAAUCUUCUGGUGGUCGUUCCUGAAAAUCUCAAGGAAGUGUGUAGUGGAGAAACAUUGACUGGAUUAGACAAGUCCGUUUUACAGGCUUUUAUUCAGCUAAGAACAGAUUACAAAACAUCAAAGAUAGCCAUGAUGUUGAAAUGAGGAAAAAAAUAACAGAAAACCUUGAGUGCUUUGAGUCAUUGAGAAAGACAAUUUCUAUUAUAUUUUAAAAAAUUAAUAAAUAUAUGAAGAUUUUAUUAUGAGUACAGUAGAUGCUGUAUGUGCAUGUUUUGAUCUUGAUUUACUGGUAGCUUGAAUUUCUAAUUUGUUUUCUCAGAGCUUUGUACAACUUAAAGAAAAUAUUCAGAAACAAAAUUCAUUGUUGGACUGUUCAUGUUAUGAUAUUUUUAUACACCAGUUGAAGUGAAAAGUAAAUACACCCAAGUAACGUUUAUUAAGGGAGAUAUCCCUACUGAUCUGACAGACAAUUCCCGCAGAGAUAAGUUUAUAAGAGAAUUCCAAAAUUCUGUCAAUUUUUACCCCAUAGCGCAUUGUGAAAUCGAAUGCAAUUCAACAUAUUGCAGUUAAGAUUUCUUUUGGGAAAUCAUUAUCACUUGAACUAAGAUUUUACACCAAAUGACAAAGAAGUAUUUACAUUCAAUUUGAAAUGAUCUUUAUGCACAGUCAUCAUUACUACUGUAAUUGUUCUUGAUUUAUACUACAAUGGAUAUUUUGUGUGGAGAGAGAGAGAGAGAGAGAGAGAGAGAGAGAGAGAGAGAGAGAGAGAUGCUUCUAAACCUUUACAGAUGUUUGAUUAUUGUUGUAUAUGCUUUGAUGUGCAAUAUUUAUGAAUAGUACUUACCAUAUACCUAUACAUGUUAAUUGAAGGUCUGAAAUAAAACUUGAAAAAAUAUGUU